rnacentral:rRNA from 1 species
GGGUUGUGAGGUUAAGCGACUAAGCGUACACGGUGGAUGCCCUGGCAGUCAGAGGCGAUGAAGGACGUGCUAAUCUGCGAUAAGCGUCGGUAAGGUGAUAUGAACCGUUAUAACCGGCGAUUUCCGAAUGGGGAAACCCAGUGUGAUUCGUCACACUAUCAUUAACUGAAUCCAUAGGUUAAUGAGGCGAACCGGGGGAACUGAAACAUCUAAGUACCCCGAGGAAAAGAAAUCAACCGAGAUUCCCCCAGUAGCGGCGAGCGAACGGGGAGGAGCCCAGAGCCUGAAUCAGUGUGUGUGUUAGUGGAAGCGUCUGGAAAGGCGCGCGAUACAGGGUGACAGCCCCGUACACAAAAAUGCACAUACUGUGAGCUCGAUGAGUAGGGCGGGACACGUGGUAUCCUGUCUGAAUAUGGGGGGACCAUCCUCCAAGGCUAAAUACUCCUGACUGACCGAUAGUGAACCAGUACCGUGAGGGAAAGGCGAAAAGAACCCCGGCGAGGGGAGUGAAAAAGAACCUGAAACCGUGUACGUACAAGCAGUGGGAGCCUCUUUUAUGGGGUGACUGCGUACCUUUUGUAUAAUGGGUCAGCGACUUAUAUUCUGUAGCAAGGUUAACCGAAUAGGGGAGCCGAAGGGAAACCGAGUCUUAACCGGGCGUUAAGUUGCAGGGUAUAGACCCGAAACCCGGUGAUCUAGCCAUGGGCAGGUUGAAGGUUGGGUAACACUAACUGGAGGACCGAACCGACUAAUGUUGAAAAAUUAGCGGAUGACUUGUGGCUGGGGGUGAAAGGCCAAUCAAACCGGGAGAUAGCUGGUUCUCCCCGAAAGCUAUUUAGGUAGCGCCUCGUGAAUUCAUCUCCGGGGGUAGAGCACUGUUUCGGCAAGGGGGUCAUCCCGACUUACCAACCCGAUGCAAACUGCGAAUACCGGAGAAUGUUAUCACGGGAGACACACGGCGGGUGCUAACGUCCGUCGUGAAGAGGGAAACAACCCAGACCGCCAGCUAAGGUCCCAAAGUCAUGGUUAAGUGGGAAACGAUGUGGGAAGGCCCAGACAGCCAGGAUGUUGGCUUAGAAGCAGCCAUCAUUUAAAGAAAGCGUAAUAGCUCACUGGUCGAGUCGGCCUGCGCGGAAGAUGUAACGGGGCUAAACCAUGCACCGAAGCUGCGGCAGCGACACUGUGUGUUGUUGGGUAGGGGAGCGUUCUGUAAGCCUGUGAAGGUGUACUGUGAGGUAUGCUGGAGGUAUCAGAAGUGCGAAUGCUGACAUAAGUAACGAUAAAGCGGGUGAAAAGCCCGCUCGCCGGAAGACCAAGGGUUCCUGUCCAACGUUAAUCGGGGCAGGGUGAGUCGACCCCUAAGGCGAGGCCGAAAGGCGUAGUCGAUGGGAAACAGGUUAAUAUUCCUGUACUUGGUGUUACUGCGAAGGGGGGACGGAGAAGGCUAUGUUGGCCGGGCGACGGUUGUCCCGGUUUAAGCGUGUAGGCUGGUUUUCUAGGCAAAUCCGGAAAAUCAAGGCUGAGGCGUGAUGACGAGGCACUACGGUGCUGAAGCAACAAAUGCCCUGCUUCCAGGAAAAGCCUCUAAGCAUCAGGUAACAUCAAAUCGUACCCCAAACCGACACAGGUGGUCAGGUAGAGAAUACCAAGGCGCUUGAGAGAACUCGGGUGAAGGAACUAGGCAAAAUGGUGCCGUAACUUCGGGAGAAGGCACGCUGAUAUGUAGGUGAAGUCCCUCGCGGAUGGAGCUGAAAUCAGUCGAAGAUACCAGCUGGCUGCAACUGUUUAUUAAAAACACAGCACUGUGCAAACACGAAAGUGGACGUAUACGGUGUGACGCCUGCCCGGUGCCGGAAGGUUAAUUGAUGGGGUCAGCGCAAGCGAAGCUCUUGAUCGAAGCCCCGGUAAACGGCGGCCGUAACUAUAACGGUCCUAAGGUAGCGAAAUUCCUUGUCGGGUAAGUUCCGACCUGCACGAAUGGCGUAAUGAUGGCCAGGCUGUCUCCACCCGAGACUCAGUGAAAUUGAACUCGCUGUGAAGAUGCAGUGUACCCGCGGCAAGACGGAAAGACCCCGUGAACCUUUACUAUAGCUUGACACUGAACAUUGAGCCUUGAUGUGUAGGAUAGGUGGGAGGCUUUGAAGUGUGGACGCCAGUCUGCAUGGAGCCGACCUUGAAAUACCACCCUUUAAUGUUUGAUGUUCUAACGUGGACCCGUGAUCCGGGUUGCGGACAGUGUCUGGUGGGUAGUUUGACUGGGGCGGUCUCCUCCUAAAGAGUAACGGAGGAGCACGAAGGUUGGCUAAUCCUGGUCGGACAUCAGGAGGUUAGUGCAAUGGCAUAAGCCAGCUUGACUGCGAGCGUGACGGCGCGAGCAGGUGCGAAAGCAGGUCAUAGUGAUCCGGUGGUUCUGAAUGGAAGGGCCAUCGCUCAACGGAUAAAAGGUACUCCGGGGAUAACAGGCUGAUACCGCCCAAGAGUUCAUAUCGACGGCGGUGUUUGGCACCUCGAUGUCGGCUCAUCACAUCCUGGGGCUGAAGUAGGUCCCAAGGGUAUGGCUGUUCGCCAUUUAAAGUGGUACGCGAGCUGGGUUUAGAACGUCGUGAGACAGUUCGGUCCCUAUCUGCCGUGGGCGCUGGAGAACUGAGGGGGGCUGCUCCUAGUACGAGAGGACCGGAGUGGACGCAUCACUGGUGUUCGGGUUGUCAUGCCAAUGGCACUGCCCGGUAGCUAAAUGCGGAAGAGAUAAGUGCUGAAAGCAUCUAAGCACGAAACUUGCCCCGAGAUGAGUUCUCCCUGACCCUUUAAGGGUCCUGAAGGAACGUUGAAGACGACGACGUUGAUAGGCCGGGUGUGUAAGCGCAGCGAUGCGUUGAGCUAACCGGUACUAAUGAACCGUGAGGCUUAACCUUACAACGCCGAAGGUGUUU